rnacentral:SRP_RNA from 1 species
GCCGGGUGCGGUGGCGCGCGCCUGUAAUCCAAGUUACCGGGAGGCUGAGGCUGGAGGAGCGUUUGAGCUCAGGAGCUCUGGGCUGCAGCGGACUAUGUCGAUCGGGUGUCCGCACUAAGUUCGGUAUCGAUAUGGUGCUCCGGCGGGAGCCCGGGAUCACCAGGUCGUCUAAGGAGGGGUGCACCGGCCCAGGUCGGACACGGAGCAGGUCAAAGCCCCCGUGCCGCUCAGUAGUGGGAUCGCGCCCGUGAAUAGACGCUGUAGUUCAGCCUGAGUAAGACAGCGGGACCCAGUCUUUA